UACGGAGGGGGCUAGCGUUGUUCGGAAUUACUGGGCGUAAAGCGCACGUAGGCGGCUUUGCAAGUCAGAGGUGAAAGCCCGGGGCUCAACCCCGGAAUUGCCUUUGAGACUGCAUCGCUAGAAUUGUGGAGAGGUAAGUGGAAUUCCGAGUGUAGAGGUGAAAUUCGUAGAUAUUCGGAAGAACACCAGUGGCGAAGGCGAGUCUCUGGACAGCAACUGACGCUGAGGCACGAAGGCCAGGGGAGCAAACGGG
rnacentral:rRNA from 1 species